CGGCUCACAGUUGUAUCCAGCGAAGGCUGAGUCUUCUCCGUGCUGUGUCUGUCUCUGCUUGCGCUGAGAAGAGUGAAGAGAGGGCCUGUCUGCAUUUGUGCGGAACCCCCAUGCCUGCCAGAUCACAGGGCUCAUGUAAAUUUAAUCCUUAGCCCAGCUGGAAGAGCUUCAGGGUAGAGGAGGAAUUUUUCCCUUCAGCUGGCAAGGCCCUGGUCCGCUCAGCCCAGUGCCGGAGGCAAG
rnacentral:lncRNA from 1 species